UGCAGCAGACCGACCUGUGCCUUCUGCUAACAGAUGUUCUCCCCUCUUUCAGGCUGUAGAGCUGACAGCAUUCAAAUCCUCAGGUUUCUGAGAGGAGGUUUCUGGGUGCCAUGACACUGUGGUGGUUCUUCAAGCAGCCAGGAGGAUGGUGGGCAGAGGAGCUGCUUCCCACAGACGGCUAACUGUGCUUCUUCCCAGCAUCAUGUGCAGACAAAGCCACGGCAGGACAGGGGCUGCAGGGGGUUCUCACAGGGCCACUGGGCACUGUGCGCUGCUGAAGGCACUCCACGCAUCCCCAGCUCCACAUCGCUGCCAGCGUUGGUUGUGCCACUACCAGGGCUGGUUUCACUUGGAGGACGUGGUGUGGGACACGCUGUGCCCAGGGCUGUGCCCACACAGAGGAGGGCAUCACUCUGCAGGGCAGGACUGGGGCUGGGCUGCAUGGAAGCACAGGCACGAGGGAAGACAGUGUCUUGCUUCAGUGCUUUUCUAAACCAGCUGACUUUAAUAGCUUCUUUGGCUGUGUUUUGGACAAAAAAUCUCCUUUCUCCUCCUGGUUUCCCAUCUGGCUGGUUACUUCCCCUUCCAGCUGGCGUUACGUUCUCCCUCCCUCUGUUCUGUGCCUUGGACUGCUUCUCCUGUUACUUUAUAGUGUU
rnacentral:lncRNA from 1 species